GAGGGUAGAGCUCAGUGGUUGAGUGCAUGCUUAGCAUACAUGAGGUCCUGGGUUCAAUCCCCAGUAACUCCA
rfam:Camelus ferus unplaced genomic scaffold scaffold1095, whole genome shotgun sequence.